rnacentral:SRP_RNA from 1 species
AUCAGGUGCAGUGGCGCAUGCCUGUAGUCCCAGCUACUCGGGAGGCUGAGGCUGAAGGCUCCCUUGAGCCCAGAAGUUCUGGGCUAUAGUGUGCUAUGCUGAUUGGGUGUCUGCACUAAGUUUGGCAUCAAUACGGUGACCUCCUGGGAGCGGGGGACCACCAGGUUGCCUAAGGAGGGGUGAACCGGCCCAGGUCGGAAACAGAGCAGGUCAAGCUCUGGUCCUAACCAGUCAUGGGAUCGCACCUGUGAAUAGCCACUGCACUCCAGCCUGGGCAACAUAGUGAGAUCUCGUCUCU